GCCAACGUCCAGGUGCCUGUUGUGGCCAUCGGUGCAUUUGGGGACAGUCCUGUCCAGAUGAUCUGUCCUAACUGUCACCAGACCAUGGUCACUAAGGUUGACUUCUUCUCUGGUGUCCUCACCUAGCUCUUCUGUGGAGGACUCUUCUUCUGUGGGUUUGUUCUGGGUUGCUGUCUCAUCCCUUUCUGUUUCGACAGGCUCAAAGACGCCAAGCACACGUGUCCCUCCUGCAAGACCAUCCUGGGGGUUUAUAAGCGCAUAACCUGCAGGAGUCUCCCGUGUCUUUUGGGAAGCUAGCUACAACAUUGUGUCUUGUCUUCUGAGACAAGUUGUUGUUCUUCCAAAACAAUCUGUUUCUCUCAGCUUCCACCCAGUAGAACUGCACAGCAGUUUUUGUGUUUGAAAAACAAAUUAGUUUAAUUCAAUAUAACAAUUUAACUGUCACAGAAUGUUGUCAUUGACAGUGUUCCAUCCCAUCCUGCCCUGUCCCUUGCUAUGCAGUUAACCGCUGCCUUGGCAACGGUAAAAUAUUUGUGCCAUAGAAAACAUAGAAUGUGAAUAUUCACGGUUUGAUGGUUGUUGUAUGAUCUGUAAGUUAUAUUACUAUAAUUGUCUCAUGCAGCACUGUGAGUCUUUCUGAUUGAGUACUGUACUGGUUUGUUAGGAAUAAACUGAGCCC
rnacentral:lncRNA from 1 species